rnacentral:lncRNA from 1 species
AAGCAUAAACUAGUCUCAAGCCGUGGUUACUGUUUGAGGAUUGGUGUCGCCAGAUGGUGAAGAUGUUACUAUGAGGAGUUUAUCAUCAUGAUGUCAGAUCAAUGAUAUUCCCCAGUAGUGUGAUAUUGGAGGAAGAGUUUCUGUCGGGCAGAGAUGGAAAUAAUAAAAAAAAUCAAGAGAAGUUUCGGGGUUCAAGAAAAGUAAAAAAAAGAGAAAG